GUUUGUGCGGAAGAAUGAAGGAUUCACUCAGGGUUUCGUGACUUUGGCAGAUAAGGUUAACUUUUAUACCUCGUUUGUGGCGUGUGACAUGAAGACGAAUGGGAUAAAAAGUGGAGGGCAAUAAAGUGAAGCAAAUUUGGGAGACUUUUCUACACUGUUUGGUUCACAUUCCCCUCGUUCUGCUUAAAAAGAAACCGACCUUUAUGAGAUCCUCGUCAACAAAUAUUUGCUCAACUUUUGUUUGCACUCCUUUCUUGCAAAUCAUGCAAUUCUUUCAACUAUGUAGAUGUUAUCUUAUGAAGCGAUGGUGAAGCUUCAAAAAACUAGCUAUAGAGAGCUUUGGACAAUGUUCGUAAUUGGCGUUUAUACAUAUUUUACAGCAUGCAAUACAAUGUGAGCACGGACAUGCGUUUGAAGUUUUUUGACAAGAAUAUAAAUUGUACACUUUUUAUACGUAUUUCUAUAUAUUCGGCAUAAAAUAGGAAUUUCCUGGCGAUUCUAACUUGUGUGACACUAUAAUACAAGUAUUUGUGUAGACUAUGGCUCAAAUUGAGCAUAGUUUGAAAGAAGUAUGCACUAUGCAUACCUCUCAGGUCUAUGUACUAACCUGAGUGAGAGCAAUGAGUAAGAUACAAAAUGUAAUUAGUGAGGUUGUAUGAAUGUCUAUAAAAAUAAGCCAUAGUUUUGUACAUGUACAUUUUAAAAAGUUAAUUUUAGAGAUUAUUCGCUACCGUCGGGUGUUUGAGGAGGAUUAAACUAUUAUUAUGUUAUAGAUAAUGAAUGACGAUGAUGGGUCAAAUUAUUUAAUAAAGUUCGAUCUUAAAAAUUAUCAUGGUAUAAAAAAUA